UACGUAGGGUCCGAGCGUUGUCCGGACUUACUGGGCGUAAAGGGUGCGUAGGCGGCCUGCUGCGUCGGUGCUGAAAGCGCCCGGCUUAACCGGGCGAGGCGUGCCGAUACGAGCGGGCUGGAGCCUUGGCGAGGGUGGCGGAACUCCUGGUGUAGUGGUGAAAUGCGUAGAGAUCAGGAAGAACACCCGUGGCGCAAGCGGCCACCUGGCCAAGAGCUGACGCUGAGGCGCGAAAGCUAGGGUAGCAAACGGG
rnacentral:rRNA from 1 species